rnacentral:misc_RNA from 1 species
GCUUGAUGAUUGGGUUUUGUGUCGGAUUUAUAAAAAGACCAACUCGAACAAACCGGGGAUGGAUCAUGAACGAGAAGAUUGCUUUGAUUAUAUGGUUGGAUCAAUACCGUCAUCGAUACAAGUGAAUGGCUACAGCCAACCAAUGACGACAUCGACGACAACAAUGACGACCAACUUUAGUAUGUAUUCUGAAUUACCCUCUUUAUCUCUUCCAAUGAAACGGUUGCUGCAACCGCCGUCGUGGGAGGAGGAAGAGUAUCGAUCGACUGACGACCGACCAUUGAGCAAAA